UGCUAAGCAGAGUAAGUUAGUUAGUAGUUCCCCAAUUAACAUCUGAAGAGGUCUGUGAUGCUGUAAGACAGAGAGCCUCAGGAUAACCAAGACCCUGCUUCGGGGGACAUUUGACAGACCAAGUACUUGAGAGGCUAGGCCUAGCCACAUGGAAAGUUUUACUUCUUAGCUUCAGCCACUGUUGGAAUAUCUCUGCAGAAAGGCAUCAGAUUUUUUUUUUUAAAGUUGGGGGAGGGAAACCCCUCUCUCCACAUCACUACUAACUUAAUAACGGCUGGAUUAUUUUU